rnacentral:lncRNA from 1 species
GUUUUUCAAUCCAAUGUUUCUUUUAUUUCUGUUCAGGUGAAUGGAAGUCACGGAGUUAGUACAGUAUAAUUCACAAAUCGAUCCCCUGACCGGGCGCAGGGCCAAGGGGUGUCAGGCUGCACGAUCCCGAUGGCCUUUGGCAACAGUGACCUGACAGCAGGCUCUAAAGUGGAUUUGUUUCUCCUUGGAGAAGAGUUGUGCUUUGGGAUCUCCCCUCCCACUGUUCCUCAUCAGCCUGCUGGGGUAUGGCAAGAGUGAAAUGGCAUCACCAGCGCAGGGCUGAGCUUGCCACCUCCCAGCCACGGGGGCUGUGCUGGCACUGAGGAGGGGCUGGGGUCCCUCAGGCUUUGGGAAACGAGGAUCCCUUUCCAGAAUGCUACGGCAGCCACCUCACAAGGCACUGCUCUGCUCUGAGAGCAUUUUGGCUAAAGCCUGUUGGGUUUUGAGAAGGGACUGCAGCAGAUUGCUUGGGGCUUGUUAUGUCUGGUUUGCAAAUGAGAAGGCAUGAUGAACCACCUGACCAACCAAGCACCCAUGAAGCCCUAAUUCAGACUGAUCCAACAAUUCAAUAAAUAACUCCUCACCUUGGAGAAGGUGGGAAACAAAAAUGGAAGGAGGAAGGGAUGGUUGGAAGAACUCUGCCCCCAACCCAUUCCCUCCUCCAAUGUACACACACGCACACACACAUGACAAAUAAAAUAAGGGGUUUUAAAAGUUUUCAGGUGGGUUUGAAUUCAUCUAGUAAAGGAGGUGUAAAAAACAACCAGCCCACCCCUGCACGCUUUUAAAGCAUACACAGAUGAAGCUGGGUGAAGGUCAGUUGUGACUGCGCCGCUCUCCCCAGCUGCUCAAGGGUGGCACUGGUGGGCAGGAGCACCAGCGUAGUGCCCCUUGCUGGCACUGUCUUGAGCUUUUCUGCCCUUGCCUGGAAAAGGAAUGUUCCUCCCUCUCUCCAAUGGCAGCAACGUCAGCGGUGUUUAGCAGCAGUGUGGGGUAAGAUGUCCUGAGUAGGGCGCGUGAGCUAUGUCCUAGCAGCUGUACACCGUCCCCUUGGGUCCUCUCAGCCCAGUAACGGAGCCCACCCAGCUCUGGCGCUCAAGGGAGGGGACAGCUCAAAAUAAAUAGGGCACCAGUUAUGGUUUUGGCUGUGGCUCUAGAGCCUUGUGACACGGGAGUGUUUUCCUAACAUUUUAGUUUAGGCCAGUAAAACCCAAAGAAUCCUGGCUCUAAUGCAACAGUUUUCUCCCGAAGUUAAAAAUGGGACAGAAAGAGGACAAAAGCAGGCAGGCAGGCAGGGACAGGCAGGCCCAGUCCCCUCCUGGCCGAGGUCAGAGGCACGUGGAACUGUCACAGUUAGAGCGGGAGAAGGGACAGGGAGGGAGCAGUUAGUGCAAGUUUUCCCACAAACACAAAACUCCUUGGGGCUUGCUUUUCAGUUAAUGACAAGAACACGCAAUGGGGUAACGUAUCCGAAAAGCAAAUCCAUUUUCUCCUCGCCUCCUUAGCAAGGCUUCACAGAGCAGGGACAGUCAUGCUCCUCCACAGCCUUGGGAAGGGGAGUGCUUUGGUCAGAGUGCCUCAUGCUGGGCAGAGGACUGGCAUCUCCCCAGGGCAGCAGCUCCAGUGCCUGGGGAGGGAGCAUGGGGAGAGGCGAGGGGAGUGGAGGGAGACAAGCCCCCUUCCUGGCAGGAAUCCC